rnacentral:lncRNA from 1 species
AGAAGGUCAUCUCACUAAAUACCCAUAUCACCUCUUUAGGCAGAUGUUCCUGGAGAAAGCCCUCUGAUGAGGAGAUCGAUGUCACAGCUGUCUCCAAAGGACCCUCAGGUGGGACAAGGGCCAGGAUUGAAGCUGACGGGGAGACAUACCAAAAGGAAUGAGGGCUUUAUUUAUGUAUGCCACUACAGCAGCAAGAAUGUUGAUUGCACAAAAUUGGAAGACUGGAGAAAUACCAACUAAAGAACAAUGGCAAGAGAAGUUGAUGAACUAUGCAGAACUGGCAAAAAUGACAGAAAGACUAAGAGAAAAAGACAACAGAGACUUUGAAAAAGAUUGGGAACCAUUCAUAUUAGAUUUGCAGAAACAAAGAAAGGUAAUAGACUUGAUGGCAGG